UGGGGAAUAUUGGACAAUGGGCGAAAGCCUGAUCCAGCCAUGCCGCGUGUGUGAAGAAGGCCUUCGGGUUGUAAAGCACUUUCAGCGAGGAAGAACGCCUAGUGGUUAAUACCCAUUAGGAAAGACAUCACUCGCAGAAGAAGCACCGGCUAACUCCGUGCCAGCAGCCGCGGUAAUACGGAGGGUGCAAGCGUUAAUCGGAAUUACUGGGCGUAAAGCGCGCGUAGGUGGCUUGAUAAGCCGGUUGUGAAAGCCCCGGGCUCAACCUGGGAACGGCAUCCGGAACUGUCAAGCUAGAGUGCAGGAGAGGAAGGUAGAAUUCCCGGUGUAGCGGUGAAAUGCGUAGAGAUCGGGAGGAAUACCAGUGGCGAAGGCGGCCUUCUGGACUGACACUGACACUGAGGUGCGAAAGCGUGGGUAGCAAACAGGAUUAGAUACCCUGGUAGUCCACGCCGUAAACGAUGUCGACCAGCCGUUGGGUGCCUAGCGCACUUUGUGGCGAAGUUAACGCGAUAAGUCGACCGCCUGGGGAGUACGGCCGCAAGGUUA
rnacentral:rRNA from 1 species